rnacentral:rRNA from 1 species
UACGUAGGUGACAAGCGUUGUCCGGAUUUACUGGGCGUAAAGAGCGCGCAGGCGGUCGUUCAAGUCGAGUGUGAAAGUCCCCGGCUCAACUGGGGAGGGUCAUUCGAUACUGAUCGACUCGAAGGCAGGAGAGGGUAGUGGAAUUCCCGGUGUAGUGGUGAAAUGCGUAGAUAUCGGGAGGAACACCAGUGGCGAAGGCGACUACCUGGCCUGUUCUUGACGCUGAGGCGCGAAAGCGAGGGGAGCAAACGGG